GCUCCUGUAGUAUAGCUUGGAUAGAAUGGAGCCCUCCGGAGGCUCAGGCCCGGGUUCGAAUCCCGGCAGGAGCG
rnacentral:tRNA from 1 species